rnacentral:rRNA from 1 species
UACCAGCACCCCGAGUGGUCGGGACGAUUAUUGGGCCUAAAGCAUCCGUAGCCGGUCUUGCAAGUCUUCCGUUAAAUCCAGCUGCUUAACAGAUGGGCUGCGGAAGAUACUACAAGACUAGGAGGUGGGAGAGGCAAGCGGUACUCAGUGGGUAGGGGUAAAAUCCUCUGAUCCAUUGAAGACCACCAGUGGCGAAGGCGGCUUGCCAGAACGCGCUCGACGGUGAGGGAUGAAAGCUGGGGGAGCAAACCGG